GGUCAGUGAUGUGAUGUAAAAGGUCUGAUGUCCAGCUCUUCCUCCAGUCUCCUCGUCCCUCCCAGCCGGCCCUAUUAAUUUUCCCAGCAUGCUCUAGUUGUGCAGUCCUGGUUUAAUGUGGCGGCUGAUAUUAUGGAUGUUUCUGCUGCACAGGAGUCUUGUUUUAGAGAAUCCAUUGAGACUCUGACAGAGAGCAUCCUGAAGCAGCUGACAGAAGCAUCCCACAGAAACAUGACACACAGGGGUGAUGUACUGAAGGUGGUUGUUAGGCUUGAUUUUGUGAUU